GUGGCAGUUUACUGUAAUUCUAAUGACCAUGAUGAGCCUUUGGGGUGAAAAUCGUUAAUAUGCGGGGUGCUUUUUGUUGAAUUUUAAUGAGAGAAUCAAUGUCAUUAAGAGUAGGACAAAGGAAAUAAUCUUGCGAUUCAAUAAAUAAUAGGAGUCUUUGCCGGUGUCUUCUUCUUCAGACAGGAUGUGAUGACGUCACGCAGUCUGUAGCAAUGCAUUGACCGUUACUGGAAAAAAGUGUGGCAAUAGAAAAAUAGUGUGUAUUGUCCUGGGCAGAUUUAUGAUGAGCACUGUUUUUGAAUAAGAAGAAAUAGUUUGAUGCUGGUUUCCUUCUUUGUUUCUUUUCGCUUUUUCCCCCCUUGUCUGACAAACAUGUGCUGACAUGCCUGGGCUUGUUCUGACAUGCUUUCCUUCUGCAUGUAGUUUUUUUCCUUUUGUACAAGGCAUAUUCUUGACGAUAGUGCUGCCUUGAAUGGGAGUAGAGCAAUUCUUAAUAAUUUUGCGAUUCAUUUAGUUCAGAGAGUAACCGCGAGGGGGACAGGUGUGUGACUUUAUGUCUUGCUGAACCUUUUUUUUUUUCCCUGUACAGUAAGACUUUGGGAAUGAAAUGCUACAAUCUCCUCUUGUCUAUGGUGUUUUUCUGCAAUAGUUCCCUACGCAAUCAUUAUAGUAGAAUAAAGGAAAUAAUCUAGGGAUAGUGAUUCAAUAAAUAACAGGUGCCCUGUCUAGAGCGUACGCGUCCUUGAGCCACGCACCUGCAUGAUGACCGCAUACCGAGAGACUAUUGUUUCAGGUUGACCUUGUCUAGAGGAGCAUUAGUGGAAAAAAACUGUGUAGCCCUGAGACAAUAGGAUGAUGUCUGGACCAAUGAGACUGGCCUGCAGGGGACGCAAGGAUUCACUUCUCUCUUGGACACUGGCGGAUGUAGACACGCCUCUCGCAGGUGGCGGUAGGAGCGCGCAGAGGGCGCUACGAGCGCGCGCAUGCGUAGCACCCGUAGAGUGGCGUUUACGUCAGUCCACCUCUGGCUCUCGUUGGGAGAAGACGUGCGGUCGUUCGCUCCGUCGUCACUUGAUCCCUGGCUGUCGACGAGAGCGGACGCUCCGUCGCAGCGGGGAAAAAGGUGAGUGAUUUACCGAUGUUUGCGCGUUGUUUUACCGUGCUCGUGUUAAGCCUUUUCUCGCAUGUUUAGACUUGUUUAGCGGUGUCCAAGCCUGUUGACGCACGUUUACCAUCGUGUGGUUCCCGCCUUGUGUUAGCCGCGAAGUGUUGUGACGCUGUGGUUAGGCCUAGUCGAUUGCCUUAAGCCUUUUCCCCCAAUGUGUAGUGUUUUCUCCGUGCUGUUUAGCAGUAGCGGUUAGGCCUUUUCCCCGCGCUCUGGCAUGCUUAGACUUGUCGAGCAGUGUUGCCAUUUUUACGUGUCGCUAGUACUUUCUUGUUCUCUGUGUUUCUCGUAUAGAGCUACGAUGCUGGCGCCAUCUGGUGUGAUGCCUUGGAACUAGCGUGCCACCUGCCUCUGCAACCGUCGUGCUCCAGUCGCCCCGGCGUGAUUUCUUCAAGAUGGCGUCGUUGAUUUUCAAAUAAAACCUUUCCUACUGUCUG